rnacentral:rRNA from 1 species
CCCUUAGAUGUUCUGGGCCGCACGCGCGCUACACUGAUGCAUUCAACGAGUCUAAAACCUGCUCUGAUAGGGGUGGGUAAUCUUUUGAAUGUGCAUCGUGAUUGGGAUAGAUGAUUGCAAUUUUUCAUCUUCAACCAGGAAUGCCUAGUAAACGCAAGUCAUCAGCUUGCAUUGAUUACGUCCCUGCCCUUUGUACACACCGCCCGUCGCUCCUACCGAUUGAAUGAUCCGAUGAAUAUCAUGGAUUGAGGAUGCAAGUAGGUUAGCCUAUCUUCAUCUUCGAGAAGUGAAGUAAAUCUUAUCAUUUAGAGGAAGGAGAAGUCGUAACA